CAUUAGCUCAGCUGGUUAGAGCAUGGUGCUACUAACACCAAGAUUGUGGGUUUGAUCCCAGUAUG
rnacentral:tRNA from 1 species